AUGUUGGUGUGGAAUGUUCGGGGGCUGAACAAUCCUGCUAGACGCAGCUCCAUUCGCUUGUUCAUACAAAGCUAUGAUGUAUCCUUGGUGUGUUUCCAAGAAUCUAAGUUGGUGGUGUUGGAUGCCACUGUGAUCAACCAGACCUUGGGUCCUAGUUUUGAUGGCUUUGAGGCUCUGCCGGCGGAUCGUACGAGAGGAGGUAUUGUGAUCGCUUGGAAAACCGCAGGUUGCAGAUAUCGAAUGUGCAGAGGAUGGAGUUCUCUGUUUCGGCAACAGUUACUUCUCUGGCGGAUGGGAAGGUCUGGAUGGUCUCUUCCGUGUAUGGACCUCAGGCUGAUCAAGAACUUGAAACUCUAG
rnacentral:rRNA from 1 species